rnacentral:lncRNA from 1 species
GGGGCCGCGUGGACAUCUGUGCGAUUGCUGCACCAGCGGCGCCCGCUCCUGGCAGCAGCAGCAGCUCUCCUGCUGGCGGCAGCAUAUCCAGCACCACUGCUGCAGGUGUGCCGCGCAUCAACAUCGGCGUGUUCGGUAUCAUGAACGCAGGUAAGAGCGAGCAAAGAUAUCCCCCGAGGCCGUCUUAUUGCAACAUGGAGGCGUCUGUAUUGUUUAUAUCUCUGUAUUGUAUAUAGGGUCUAGCAAACUAGGCCCUAUAAGCAAUACUGGAUUGUCAAUCAAUACCCACAUCCCGGUAUCCACAACGCGCCUCGUACCCGUGGCUGCCAGCUCCCCUCCUUCUAUCUGGCCUGGACCCUUCCGUGAUAUCCUUUACCUCCCUCCCGUGCUCCCUACUCGGCCUCCUUCCCUUUGAAACCGCCUUCCUAUCACCCCUCUUUCUACCCUCAGAUAGUUCCCUACCUACCUACCCUGCUGCGCCGGUCCCCCUCUUCCCCCCUUUUCAGGCAAGUCCAGUCUUGUGAACGCGCUGGCCCAGCAGGAGGCGUGUAUCGUGGACUCCCACCCCGGCACCACCGCGGACGUCAAGACGGUGUUGCUGGAGCUGCACGACCUGGGCCCGGCCAAGCUGCUGGACACGGCGGGGCUGGACGAGGAGGG